GACUCUAUUGAGACGGACACAAACAUAGCCUUAGUCUACAGCAAACUUGUGAUUCAUCAGCCAAAUUACGUGCCAUCAUUAAUGGCCUGCAAAAGGGGUCAUCAAUAAUUUUUCAUUGUAAUGUACUCAGUGGUGGAGAAGUUUAUUAAAACCUCCAUGAAAGGCUGGCUAAUGUUUACAUCAGAAGAAGCCACAACACAUGUUAUUAAUGAAUAAGUGGAACAAUAUCAGGCACCAUCUCAAGAUUGGUUACUAGAACAAGGCUGUAGGAACCCAGCUAGGGGGCUGGAGCUUUCCACUGAAAGAAAACAAAAUUAGUCAUUGCAUACUAGGAUCAAUGUUGCAAUGAUGCACAGACAAUGCAAAGAGCUCCUUAAAUGUCUCUUCAAAUGAGAUGCCUCCUGCACAGCCUGCAACUUGCAGCAGCCAGCACUGGACCACCCAAUGAGGAGACUAACACAGAUAAAGCAGAAGCUCAGAUGAUGCAAGGCAAGGCGGGUUGGGCAAUAGAAGCAUGAUUGCCAGUUGGCAAGGGAAAGCAAGAAGACUUCACUGAUGAUAGUGCAACAUGACCUCUGAACAGUGGCCCAGCCUGGGGUGGGAAGUCCUGAUGGUGUAGUGCUCUGUGCAUGCACCCAAUACAAGCUGGCAUGCUGUUGGUCACUCUGCAUCUGGUGAGUCCUCAGCUGAGCUGUUUUCCUGCCAUCAGUAGAGGACUGACUCUGCCAAAGACAUUUUCCCUGCUUGGAGACCUGUCCCCACACCCAGCUUUUGGUAAGGGUCUUCCAACAAGGAAUUAAAUGCAGUGUCAGGGUC